AUUGAACGCUGGCGGCAUGCCUUACACAUGCAAGUCGAACGGCAGCACGGGGCAACCUGGUGGCGAGUGGCGAACGGGUGAGUAAUGCAUCGGAACGUACCUUUCAGUGGGGGAUAACGUAGCGAAAGUUACGCUAAUACCGCAUAUUCUGUGAGCAGGAAAGCAGGGGAUCGCAAGACCUUGCGCUGAUUGAGCGGCCGAUGUCAGAUUAGCGAGUUGGUGAGGUAAAGGCUCACCAAGGCGACGAUCUGUAGCGGGUCUGAGAGGAUGAUCCGCCACACUGGAACUGAGACACGGUCCAGACUCCUACGGGAGGCAGCAGUGGGGAAUUUUGGACAAUGGGGGCAACCCUGAUCCAGCCAUGCCGCGUGAGUGGAGAAGGCCUUCGGGUUGUAAAGCUCUUUCGGCCGGGAAGAAAUCGCACGGGCUAAUACCCUGUGUGGAUGACGGUACCGGAAUAAGAAGCACCGGCUAACUACGUGCCAGCCGCCGCGGUAA
rnacentral:rRNA from 1 species